UACGUAGGGUGCAAGCGUUGUCCGGAAUUAUUGGGCGUAAAGAGCUCGUAGGCGGUCUGUCACGUCGGCUGUGAAAUCCCGAGGCUCAACCUCGGGUCUGCAGUCGAUACGGGCAAACUAGAGUAUUGCAGAGGAGACUGGAAUUCCUGGUGUAGCGGUGGAAUGCGCAGAUAUCAGGAGGAACACCGGUGGCGAAGGCGGGUCUCUGGGCAGUAACUGACGCUGAGGAGCGAAAGCGUGGGGAGCGAACAGG
rnacentral:rRNA from 1 species